GUGCACGCUGGCGGUAGGCCUAACACAUGCAAGUCGAACGGCAGCACCGUAAGAGCUUGCUCUUUCGGGUGGCGAGUGGCGGACGGGUGAGGAAUACAUCGGAAUCUACUUUUUCGUGGGGGAUAACGUAGGGAAACUUACGCUAAUACCGCAUACGACCUACGGGUGAAAGCAGGGGAUCUUCGGACCUUGCGCGAUUGAAUGAGCCGAUGUCGGAUUAGCUUGUUGGCGGGGUAAAGGCCCACCAAGGCGACGAUCCGUAGCUGGUCUGAGAGGAUGAUCAGCCACACUGGAACUGAGACACGGUCCAGACUCCUACGGGAGGCAGCAGUGGGGAAUAUUGGGCAAUGGGCGCAAGCCUGAUCCAGCCAUACCGCGUGGGUGAAGAAGGCCUUCGGGUUGUAAAGCCCUUUUGUUGGGAAAGAAAAGCAGCAGGUUAAUACCCCGCUGUUCUGACGGUACCCAAAGAAUAAGCACCGGCUAACUUCGUG
rnacentral:rRNA from 1 species